GACGUAGGUCGAUUGACCAAACCACGUUAAAUCUUUGUGUCUUUUGGUAUAUUUCUCGUUGUCUUCUUACUCGUGGUCUUUUGAGGUUAGCUUUGCAGCUUUCGCGUUUACACCUGCUUAUUUCCGAUCGUAUCAGUCUUCUCCACUCUUAGCAGGUUGUAAUCCACGUGAAGAUUAUUACCCUCCAAUUCUUAAAUAGUAUAAUUGCUUAUACUUUUAGGGUUUUUCGGUGAUGACAAUGUGAUGGAAUCGAUCUCGUCUUCAUCAGCUGAACCAAUCGAAACUUUAAACUUAGUCAUUUUAGCUCAUUAAUCUACCUUGUUCAUCUAUGAAACUAAUAAUCAUGGGAUUUGUGUGAAUCCCUCAAUUAUAUCUACUGCAUGUAAGUCAAAAUCCUUGUGUACUCGUCUAGAAUAACAAGUUCUACUAUUGCCUCGAAGCUGAACUCUAGCCUUUAAAAUAUGUAGAUCCACAAUCCACAUAUGUUAUCACAAAAAUUAAAGCUCUAUCUAAUUGCAGUUUUAUCAAUGUAUAAUGUCUUAAUGGAUUGAACCCCAUUUAGGAUUCAUAUGGAUGAUUCUACCACAAUCAACUCAGAGAAAAUUUGCAUCCCUUUGUAGAUUUCUUCAAAUUAAAUCCACAUUGUUGAUGGGGAAUACUAGCUAAAUUAAAUCAUAGAUUUGAUAUUAAUGGACACCCCAUGCUCUCACUAGAUAAAAGUACACAAAUCUCUUGAAUUUACUUCAAACUUUAUCUUAUCCUAAUAGAAAAUUUUACCUUAUUAGCAGAUUGAACUUACAUGUAAUAAGGAAUGAACUAUGAUACACAUACUAUUAUUUCCUCUAAUUAUCGUGUAGAUGCCUCCUUAAGUAUGGUAUACCAUAUUUAGCUAGAUUUAAUAUCUUCUUUUCUACUCUAUGAAUUUUUUGAAUGCGGUUAAUCUAAAAAUCACGUGCAAAAGAUAAAACUAAAUUAGUAAAACAUCUACAAGAAUGUUUCCUUUUUAAGAGAAUGUUUACUCUUGCGAAAUAACUCUUCUCAAUCUCCUAAUGAUACUAAUAUUCAAUGCCACAUUUUAUUACCCUUUAAUUUCCACUCUCCCUAUAAAAUAUGCACCAUAAGUAAAGAGUAAGACUCAAUAAUGAUAUUGACAAUUUCAUGGUCAAUAUAGUAAUUAAGAUUCUCCCUUAUGUCUAUAGAUUUAAAUAUAAUGUCGGUUAUAUCAUGAAUUUUGAAACCUUUAGCUACUACCAGAUUAACACUAUGAUCCCUGAUAUAAAAAAGUUUUGGAACUAGCCAUAAGUCAAAGACCUAAUCUAGAGCCUCACACGUUGAACUAAGGUUGGUAACACUGUUUUAUGUCCUAAAUUAAUGCAUAUCAAUCAUUUAGGAGGUUUUAGAGUUAAAACCUCAAGGAACGUCCAUGACGUCCAAUGAAUUGUGAAAAAGAGGUAGUAUGCCUUGGCAUGUUUCAUGGGGUUUUAAGAGUUGGAAUUCAAUGAAAUUAGGUAAAAAGGUGUUAAACAUAUUUUAGAGUGUGUUUACGAUCAAAACGUCUGGGUAAGAUUCCCCAAAGACCACUUUAGGGUCCCUUGAGGAGGACCUUUCCAAAAUGACCAAAACUCUCAAAUGACAGUGUCCAAUUACAAGACCAAUCAACAAGCCGUUGUCUAGGCGACGAGGCAUCGAUGGCCUCCAUAGGUGAUGCCUUAUCCAUUUUCAAAAUGUGUCCAAAAACCAAGUCUGUGACACCAUCGACUGUUGUGCAGCACGGAGGGCAUGAGCUAGUGUCGAUUGACCUACAGACCGUAGGUCGGGGUCUCGUUGGUCAGUUCUGGUUUUUACUAUCCAAUUAAAGUAAGUCAUUUAAUUUAAUUAGUUUGUUAGGUAGUUAAUUAAGGGUUAGGGGAAGUCUAGUUAAGUUAAUUAAGAGACUAUAUAAAUACAUAACCCUCAUUAAACUAACCUAACUCACUUCAAUCCCCAAAUUUAAAUCUCUUUUCCUUCUCUUUACUUUCUCUCUUCCCAAAGAAGACUUCACUGGAGACCAAGAUCAAAGUUUUAGGGCAGCAAGAAGUUUACUUUUCUCCAUUAAUAUUCAAGGAUUGUUAAGAUCUGCCUUGUUGAUGGUGAAUUUUAGCAGAAACUAAAGUUUUGAUUUGGUACUAAGGACAGUCCAAGCUCUCACCAGGUGUAAGUAUACAAAUCAAUUGAAUUUACUUCAAACUUUAGCUUAUCAUAAUAGAAAUUUUACCUUAGCAGAUUGAACUUACAUGUAUUCUGUAAUGGAUCAUGUACUAUGAUACGCAUAAAUCUAUUAUCUCUGUUAAUCGUGUAGAUGCCUCCUUAUGUAUGAUGUAAAAUAUUUAUCUAGAUUGAGUAUCUUCAUUUUUGCGUUGUAAA